rnacentral:rRNA from 1 species
GGGGGAUAACACCUGGAAACAGAUGCUAAUACCGCAUAACAACUUGGACCGCAGGUCCGAGUUUGAAAGAUGGCUUCGGCUAUCACUUUUGGAUGGUCCCGCGGCGUAUUAGCUAGAUGGUGGGGUAACGGCUCACCAUGGCAAUGAUACGUAGCCGACCUGAGAGGGUAAUCGGCCACAUUGGGACUGAGACACGGCCCAAACUCCUACGGGAGGCAGCAGUAGGGAAUCUUCCACAAUGGACGAAAGUCUGAUGGAGCAACGCCGCGUGAGUGAAGAAGGGUUUCGGCUCGUAAAACUCUGUUGUUAAAGAAGAACAUAUCUGAGAGUAACUGUUCAGGUAUUGACGGUAUUUAACCAGAAAGCCACGGCUAACUACGUGCCAGCAGCCGCGGUAAUACGUAGGUGGCAAGCGUUGUCCGGAUUUAUUGGGCGUAAAGCGAGCGCAGGCGGUUUUUUAAGUCUGAUGUGAAAGCCUUCGGCUCAACCGAAGAAGUGCAUCGGAAACUGGGAAACUUGAGUGCAGAAGAGGACAGUGGAACUCCAUGUGUAGCGGUGAAAUGCGUAGAUAUAUGGAAGAACACCAGUGGCGAAGGCGGCUGUCUGGUCUGUAACUGACGCUGAGGCUCGAAAGUAUGGGUAGCAAACAGGAUUAGAUACCCUGGUAGUCCAUACCGUAAACGAUGAAUGCUAAGUGUUGGAAGGUUUCCGCCCUUCAGUGCUGCAGCUAACGCAUUAAGCAUUCCGCCUGGGGAGUACGGCCGCAAGGCUGAAACUCAAAGGAAUUGACGGGGGCCCGCACAAGCGGUGGAGCAUGUGGUUUAAUUCGAAGCUACGCGAAGAACCUUACCAGGUCUUGACAUACUAUGCAAAUCUAAGAGAUUAGACGUUCCCUUCGGGGACAUGGAUACAGGUGGUGCAUGGUUGUCGUCACCUCGUGUCGUGAGAUGUUGGGUUAAUUCCCGCAACGAGCGCAACC